AUUGAACGCUGGCGGCAGGCCUAACACAUGCAAGUCGAACGAGUGGCGGACGGGUGAGUAAUGUCUGGGAAACUGCCCGAUGGAGGGGGAUAACUACUGGAAACGGUAGCUAAUACCGCAUACCAUCGGAUGUGCCCAGAUGGGCUUAGCUAGUAGGUGGGGUAACGGCUCACCUAGGCGACGAUCCCUAGCUGGGCUGAGAGGAUGACCGGCCACACUGGAACUGAGACACGGUCCAGACUCCUACGGGAGGCGGCAGUGGGGAAUAUUGGAAAAGGGGCGCAAGCCUGAUGCAGCCAUGCCGGGUGUAUGAAGAAGGCCUUCGGGUUGUAAAGUACUUUCAGCGAGGAGGCGUUACUCGCAGAAGAAGCACCGGCUAACUCCGUGCCAGCAGCCGCGGUAAUUC
rnacentral:rRNA from 1 species